UUAAUCGAAGCCAAAAUAGAGGCAUUUCAUUGUUAAUGAAAUUAAUGAUAAACUAAUCCGAUUAAA
rnacentral:tRNA from 1 species